UUGAAACCCAAGCAUCCAAUGUCAGCAUUCUUCUUAUUCACAAACAGUAGCCAAGUUGCACUGCUUGCGGAGAAGAAGAGUGUUUUAGAGGAGCUUGAAGCACUACCCGAUCCAGUGGGGCAUACCUGCUAGAAGAAGGAGAAAGAAUACAAAGAAGCUCGAGGCUUUCAAUGAGAAGAACAUGGAAAAAGUACAACUUAUAACCAGGUUAAUGGAGGAAACUACCCUUAAUCAUGUUAAGAGUGCUGGACUUCUUGGUGAUGGCUUUGGUUCAACGCCAAAGAUGUGCAGAAAGAACCUGAUAUGGGUGGUUACACGAAUGCAGGUGGUGGUAGAUCGCUAUCCUACUUGGUUUAUGAAGUUCUAAAGUUGCUGAAUGAGCUCUACCUACUACAGCUA